UUCCGGUUGAUCCUGCCGGACCUGACUGCUAUCGGAUUGAUACUAAGCCAUGCGAGUCAUUGUAGCAAUACAAGGCAGACGGCUCAGUAACGCGUAGUCAACCUACCCUAUGGACGGGAAUAACCUCGGGAAACUGAGUAUAAUGCCCGAUAGAACACUAUACCUGGAAUGGUUUGUGUUCCAAAUGAUUUAUCGCCGUAGGAUGGGACUGCGGCCUAUCAGUUUGUUGGUGAGGUAAUGGCCCACCAAGACUAUUACAGGUACGGGCUCUGAGAGGAGUGGCCCGGAGAUGGGUACUGAGACACGGACCCAGGCCCUAUGGGGCGCAGCAGGCGAGAAAACUUUGCAAUGUGCGAAAGCACGACAAGGUUAAUCCGAGUGGUUUCUGCUAAAGGAACCUUUUGACAGUCCUAGAAACACUGUUGAAUAAGGGGUGGGCAAGUUCUGGUGUCAGCCGCCGCGGUAAAACCAGCACCUCAAGUGGUCAGGAUGAUUAUUGGGCCUAAAGCAUCCGUAGCCGGCUCUGUAAGUUUUCGGUUAAAUCUGUACGCUUAACGUACAGGCUGCUGGGAAUACUGCAGAGCUAGGGAGUGGGAGAGAUAGACGGUACUCGGGAGGAAGUGGUAAAAUGCUUUGAUCUCUCGAUGACCACCUGUG
rnacentral:rRNA from 1 species